AAUAGAACAACAAGACAAGAAUCCGAUAAACAUGACCUUAAAUCUAAAAUUAUUGCCAUGUCUUACGUUGUAUUAAUAUUAUUUGGAUUAUGAUUGUUGUUGUGAACCAAUAUUGUGUGUUUUAAGUUUAGGUUAAUCAGUCAAUGAAUUGUGCCUCACAAGGAUCUCAGUGUUCUUUAAUUUAGCCUUAGCAUUUGAGAUGUCUCUUAACCUCAAAAUUUACCACACCCUCUUUAAAAACAUUGUUAUUUGGUUUAAGAUAGCAUUUAUUUACGACCGUGAUUUUCUCUCGUGUGGAAUAGUUAGUCUAUGGCAGUAGAAAAGUAAAUGUUUUAUUGAAAUGGUUCGAAACGUUUUUAAAAUGUGUUGUGGCAUAGGAUCCUGCCGUUAAAAUGGCUAGUGCUAAUUAUGAAAAUGAGCACUUAAGUUGGAUAGAAUUUUGUGAUAGACAUGCCAAAGUAGCUGCUGCUGACUUUGCAAAAGCAUUGUGUGGUUAUGUUGAAGCUAAUCUUCCAGAGAAUGUAAGACCAACUGUUGCAUACAAGGACUUUUUGUCUAAGUUUGUAGACUUUUUUGUGGAUCACUUUGAAAAUGAAUAUUCUUUGAAAAUUCAAUGUAAAAAAGUGCCAAAUGGUAAUGUUCUACCUCCAGGAUCUUCCAAUCAUAAUUCUCACAGUCAUGAAGAAUUCAGUGAUUAUUCCGAGCAUGAAACAGAUUCCCCAUCUCCUAAAGUCCCAUAUAAACCAUUUUUCCGAAGAUUAUCUUUCAAAGGGUUGCGUAAAGGUAAAGGGUUUUUUCAAAAACAACACUCAGAUGAAGUAGAACUUUCACAUGAUAAGCACAUGAAGAAUGAUAAACAUUCCAAAACUAAACUAGCAAAAAUUGUUGUCGAGUGUAGGAAAGAAGGUAUUGUGAAUUAUUUAAUGGGUGAAAAUAUUGAUGGCUGCAGUAAUCAGAAAUGGGAAAAGUGUCGGUUGGCUUUAGUAAAGACUGUUGGAGGAUAUAUGUUGGAAUUUUACUCUCCUCCCAAGGCAAUAAAACCAAAAAGCGGAGUGUUCUGCUUUUUGAUAACGGAAGCAAGAGAAACUACAGCUUUAGAAAUGCCAGAUCACGAGAAUACAUUUGUCCUUAAAGCAGAGAACAACAUGGAGUACGUUAUAGAAGCUCAUGACACAGAUGAUAUGCGUUCUUGGUUAGCCACUGUGAAGUAUUGUAUGCGAUCCAUGCAACCUGCCACAGACAUAAUGGAAACCAGAAGUCUGUUGGGUGUUGUGAAUGAGAAUGAAAGACUCCGCUCACCCUUGUCAAAACCAACAGCACCUCCAGACUCAGUUGAAGACCCUCCAGAGCUGCCUCCCAGACUGCAGGCCUCUGCCUCAUCCAGGGGGGACACUCCUGUCCUAAGGCUCUCUAGUAAUAGCAACUUUGAACUGUGCACUUCUCGAACAGAUAUUGAACACUCAGCAGGCUUGUGCGAUUCUGAUGUUGAUCUGUCUCUGACUCUCCGAGACUACCCAUGGUUUCAUGGGACUCUCCCUCGUUCUGAUGCUGCAUCACUAGUCCUCCAUGGUGGUUCUUCAGCACACGGAGUCUUCCUUGUUCGUCAAAGUGAAACUAGAAAAGGAGAAUUCGUAUUAACAUUUAAUUUUCAAGGUAGAGCUAAGCAUUUAAGAAUGACAUUGAACGACCAAGCCCAGUGUCGGGUUCAACAUUUAUGGUUCUCAACGAUUUUCGAUAUGUUGGAACACUUCCGCCAGCAUCCAAUCCCACUGGAAUCAGGGGGCACAGAGGAUGUGACGUUGACAGAGUAUGUGGUGGCACCUCUAGUCACAGUCCAACUCCCUAGGCUGGCUCCAACUGGCACCCCUGCACCCGAUAGAAGACCCCCUCCUCCCCCUGACACAAGAGAGGUCUGAAUGAGAUACAUUUAGAAUUGCUACUGUAUAAUGUAUAAAGCAAGGCAGAACAGUCACGGCCAACUGCAGAGAGUCACGAAAGCCAGCCCAUCCUGCAGCCAUCCAGUCAUAGAAAUAUCUCUUCAAUGUGUUAUCACGUUGGGUGGCUCCAUACGCAGCAGGACUGAAUCUGUGGAGCGACUCCAGCAACAAGAGCGGGGUGAUCGGCCUGCAGCUGUUGGACCUCUGGUUACCGCCUCACAGGGCAGUCGGGCCAUAGAAAACACUUAUAG
rnacentral:misc_RNA from 1 species